rnacentral:misc_RNA from 1 species
AGAUCAACGAAGAAAAAACACUGGCAUUAAACUAGUUUAAUAUACCACUAGACUAUGUCAAUCGCUGCAACAAAUGGUUAAUAACCAGAGUAGACUUAUAAAAGGCCCCCUUAAUUGUAUCUCAUGCAAGAAAAUAAGGGCAAUCUUCCUACAAAAACAUCAAAAAAAUCCACAUAAUACAACAUGAAUGAUGAAGCAAUGACAACUUUAAUUUAAGGGAAGAAAU